rnacentral:rRNA from 1 species
UACGUAGGGGGCAAGCGUUGUCCGGAAUCAUUGGGCGUAAAGAGCGUGUAGGCGGCCCGAUAAGUCCGCUGUGAAAGUCCAGGGCUCAACCCUGGGAUGCCGGUGGAUACUGUCGGGCUCGAGUCCGGAAGAGGAGUGUGGAAUUCCUGGUGUAGCGGUGAAAUGCGCAGAUAUCAGGAGGAACACCAGCGGCGAAGGCGGCGCUCUGGGCCGGUACUGACACUGAGGAGCGAAAGCGUGGGUAGCAAACAGG